rnacentral:rRNA from 1 species
UACGUAGGGUGCAAGCGUUAAUCGGAAUUACUGGGCGUAAAGCGUGCGCAGGCGGUUAUGUAAGACAGGUGUGAAAUCCCAGGGCUUAACCUUGGAACUGCAUUUUGUGACUGCAUAGCUAGAGUUCGGUAGGGGGAGACUGGAAUUCCUGGUGUAGCGGUGAAAUGCGCAGAUAUCAGGAGGAACACCGGUGGCGAAGGGCGGGGUCUCUGGGGCCCGAUACUGACGCUGAGGAGCGAAAAGCGUGGGGGGAGCGAAACAGGG